UACGGAGGGUGCAAGCGUUGUUCGGAUUUACUGGGCGUAAAGCGCGUGUAGGCGGAUCGUUAAGUCCGAUGUGAAAUCCCUGGGCUCAACCCAGGAAUUGCAUUGGAAACUGGCGGUCUUGAGUACGGGAGAGGGAAGCGGAAUUCCUAGUGUAGAGGUGAAAUUCGUAGAUACUAGGAGGAACACCGGUGGCGAAGGCGGCUUCCUGGACCGAUACUGACGCUGAGACGCGAAAGCGUGGGUAGCAAACAGG
rnacentral:rRNA from 1 species